AGAAAAAGUGAGGAAAAUCAUGGAAAACAAGUGAAAAAGGUGGUGAGUCAUCCGAUAAAGGCAAUGAAAUUGCAUUCGAGGACCAGUAGUCAAAGUACUUCAGAAAUUCAUACUCUAGACAUUGGUUCUGGUUGGCAUUUCGGGUAAUGAGUGUCUAUCUGGAC